ensembl:snRNA U6 U6 spliceosomal RNA
UUGUGCUCGCUCUGUCCACUAACAUUGGGAACGAUGCAGAGAAGAUUAGCACGGCCCGUGCACAAGAGUGACAUGAGCGUGUCAGUAGGUUCAUUACAAUCAC